rnacentral:rRNA from 1 species
UGAGAAGCUUCGCUGUAAGUACUUCAGCGGGAGAAGGUGUGUGUCAUACGCAGCAAUGACGUAACUGCAGAAGAAGCACGCUAACUCGUGCCAGCAGCGCGGUAUACGAGGGUGCAAGCGUAAUCGGAAUUACUGGGCGUAAAGCGCACGCAGCGGUCUGUCAAGUCGAAUGUGAAUCCCGGCUCAACCUGGAACUGCAUUCGAAACUGGCAGGCUAGAGUCUUGUAGAGGGGGUAGAAUUCCAGUGUAGCGGUGAAAUGCGUAGAGAUCUGGAGGAAUAGCGGUGGCGAAGGCGGCCCCUGGACAAAAGACUGACGCUCAGUGCGAAAGCGUGGGGAGCAAACAGAUAGAUACCCUGGUAGUUCACGCGUAAACGAUGUCGAUUGAGUGUGCCUGAGCGUGCUGCGAGCUAACGCGUAAAUCGACGCUGCGAGUACGGCCGCAAGGUAAAACUCAAAUGAAUGACGGGGGCCGCACAAGCGGUGGAGCAUGUGGUUAA